rnacentral:rRNA from 1 species
AGUGAACGCUGGCGGUAGGCCUAACACAUGCAAGUCGAACGGCAGCACAGUAAGAGCUUGCUCUUACGGGUGGCGAGUGGCGGACGGGUGAGGAAUACAUCGGAAUCUACUUUUUCGUGGGGGAUAACGUAGGGAAACUUACGCUAAUACCGCAUACGACCUACGGGUGAAAGCAGGGGAUCUUCGGACCUUGCGCGAUUGAAUGAGCCGAUGUCGGAUUAGCUAGUUGGCGGGGUAAGGGCCCACCAAGGCGACGAUCCGUAGCUGGUCUGAGAGGAUGAUCAGCCACACUGGAACUGAGACACGGUCCAGACUCCUACGGGAGGCAGCAGUGGGGAAUAUUGGACAAUGGGCGCAGGCCUGAUCCAGCCAUACCGCGUGGGUGAAGAAGGCCUUCGGGUUGUAAAGCCCUUUUAUUGGGAAAGAAAAGCAGCAGGUUAAUACCCCGCUGUUCUGACGGUACCCAAAGAAUAAGCACCGGCUAACUUCGUG